rnacentral:rRNA from 1 species
UACGUAGGUGGCAAGCGUUGUCCGGAUUUACUGGGCGUAAAGAGCGCGCAGGCGGUUGAUUAAGUCGAAUGUGAAAGCCCCCGGCUCAACUGGGGAGGGUCAUUCGAUACUGAUUGACUUGAAGGCAGGAGAGAGAAGUGGAAUUCCCGGUGUAGUGGUGAAAUGCGUAGAUAUCAGGAGGAACACCGGUGGCGAAGGCGGGUCUCUGGGCCGAUACUGACGCUGAGGAGCGAAAGCGUGGGGAGCGAACAGG